GUAAACAAAACACAAUACGCUAGUGCCGAAGCUCGCUCCUGAUCAGUCUGUCUCUUUCACGCUUCAAGGAAAUAAUUCCCCUUCUGCUUUCUUCCGUACUGUUUUCAUAUACCGCUCCCCUAACCAACUUAGUGACGAAACGGCCUCACCUAGUACCAUAGACCCGUCUUGGCCAAAACCACUGUGCAGCCAUCUUGAAAGUCUACUGUGUUCUGUUUACAAACAAAACACAAUACGUUUUUUAUAAGCAAGUUACCAUACGAUACGGCCAUUUGCAUUCGUACUUCUCUUCAGUUAAAACAAAUUUGAUCUCGUUGAUCUUUAUUUUAUUUUAUCGGGAUUAUUCAGCGCACAACGACACAAGCACGGAUAGAGAAACAAAAUUUGUGGUAUCUUCAUAUUCUUCGUUUGUCGUAUUUAUUUGGCACGAUUUGAGGAGAUAAGGGCUGCUGAAUAUACUUAUCAGGUAGCGAAUGUAUGUGUUCAUCGCGAUCUGAAACAAGAGAACAUUCUACUGACGGACUAUGACAACCUGAAAAUAGUCAAUUUCGGGUGGCUCGUUCACCCCCGCUCGAUUAUCUGCCACCGUAGAUGGUCUUAGAUCAGUGAUGUUUAAGCAUUCUGUAUUUUGAGUUUGCGUCGGUUUUCCAUCGUUUGAAUCGGAAACGGCCAAGGCCAUAUACAAUGAGACUCGGAAGCUAGAGGCUGCUUCCGGAUUGCGGAAGGAGGUGUUUGGUAUCGAAGCAAAAUCAAUGAGUUCAAUUUGUGCCUGUGACAUAUGUUCGGUCGGAGAUUCGGACAUUCGUGACGUGAUGGUAACGGUGGGCAAAUUCGUGAAAAGGCCUUGCAAUCUUUGAACAACUACAAUGGAGAUUACGGCGCGGAGUCGAAUGCGGAAAAUGUAGACGAUGAGGGCGAUGACUUGCUUUCAAGCGACCGAUCGGCGAGAUAACGACGGCUAAAUGUGGGAAUAACAUUGUACCACUGUCCAGAGUAUUUAUAGGUGUCGCAAAUCGUUGAAUAAUUACAUGAUCUAUCACCAGAAUCAGCUGUCGUUUUCGUGCGAUGAAUAUGGCGUGCAGUUCGCCCGCAAACGGUCGCUAUAGGGUUACAAAAAGUAACGAUUACUGUACAGGAAUCUUCUUGUCUUCGAGACAAUAUUUUCCACCAGAGAACCGUGCACAUCAUAUCAUGGAGUGGAAUAGUCUCCUUAAUGAAGGCACACCAGACUUUAAAAAAGGAAAAAAUAAAAGACGAACCGAUUUCGUUUGCAUAGGUUGUCGUCAGCAUUUCCUGACAUAAAAAAAAUAUCAGCGUCACAUUAAUGAGUUUCUGAAGCACUUCCCAAAAGUUCUACACCGGUGUCAACUGGCGAAUCGAAUCGUUAGAUUAUAUGCCACCGGAGAUGGUCGUAUUUCAGUGAUGUUUGUGCAUUCUGUAUUUUUAGUUUUGCGUCUGUUUUCCACCGUUCGAACCGGAAACGACCAAGGCAACAUACUAUGAGAUCCGAUAGCUGAAGGUGGACAAUCCAUACUUUCUGAGUGCGGGAGCAAGAGAUCUGAUAUUGAAGUUGUGCGCGAAAUCAAUAAUCUCAAAGUUUUCCUGUAAUAUAUAUGAUGUGUAGUUGUAAUUUCCGUUUUGUGUUUUUUUUUUACAACAAACGUACUGUGUCUGUUUGAUUAUUGAUCGGAAGAUUAGAACAUUCGUGACGUGAUGGUACGCUGAAGUGCAUCUCAGAGGACGUCUUGCAAUUUUCGGACAACUCCAAUGAAGAUGACGGCGAGGGGUCGAAUGCGGACAACGAAGAUAUUCGCGAAGAUGACUAGCCUACAAGCGAACGAUCGGCGAGACAACGGCUCUAUGUUGGGAUAAUUGCACCGGGAGCGGGAGCAAUUAUCGUAAGUUAUAAGAAAAUUAUUUCCGACGAAGCAUAUACAAAACGCAGAUGAAUUAAUUCAGCAAAGUGCAUCAGAAAAGGCUGAUCGAUAAGAAGUGCGAGGAUGAUUGUGAGGAAGAAAAUCUAUAAAUAAGAUGAGAAAAGAUGACUGAGGACUGUUUAUCUAAAUAUGUCUAAGUCGCACGCGUCAAUUCAAGUAGCAACAACAUUGUAUAUCUUAAUCAUAAAUCAUUAUAAUUGAGCUGCUGUUUAGAUAGAAAAAUGAGAAUAUACCUUCUCAAAAAUUUGCACGUAAAUAUUCAAUAAAAUUUCUAUUUUUACAAGGACUCAAUCGGCUUAAUAGGCAAUAGAAUGUAGCAGUUUUUCAUUCCAACAAAUAGGAAGAAUCUUGCUUAACGUUUUUCGCACUGCUACGUACACUUUCGGCCACCUAAAAUAGCUUAAACAAUUUUAUGAAUACUGUAUGUUGUGUUUCGACCAACCGCAAGAUCGUUAAUUGCUCGCCGAAGGUGCCUGAAGGAGCUUUCCAGUUGCAUCGUGUGACUAAUGCUCAUGUAGAGAUUUGAAUUUUCUCAGGAUCGAUGCAACCCUUGGAGGAACCCAAUUCUAUACUCCUCGCGCCAUAUAAUACCAUUUCAAUAAUCCAAUUUCUUGACAAAUGUCUCCGUAUUACUUACAGCCGUUCGCAUGCUCAUCACCAUAAAAAUACAGAAGAAAGAAUUGCGAGAAUUAUGUUUUAUUCGUUUCGAAAUACUCCGGAAUUUCAACGGUUCUGACAGUUUGUAUGCACACAUGUAUCAUCUGUCUCCCUCCCGCAUUUUUUGUACACAUUCCCCUCUUACACGCUUCGCUACGUACCACUCCCCUCGCUAACAUACUGACGAUACGGAAUCACCUUAGUAAUACUCAAGACGGAUCUAUGGUACUAGGUGAGGCCGUUUCGUCACUAAGUUGGUUAGGGGAGCGGUAUAUGAAAACAGUACGGAAGAAAGCAGAAGGGGAAUUAUUUCCUUGAAGCGUGAAAGAGACAGACUGAUCAGGAGCGAGCUUCGGCACUAGCGUAUUGUGUUUUGUUUACAAACAAAACACAGUAGAUUUCCAAGAUGGCUGAAGAGUGGUUUUAGCAAGUUGGCCCACCUU